AUUGAACGCUGGCGGCAGGCCUAACACAUGCAAGUCGAACGAGUGGCGGACGGGUGAGUAAUGUCUGGGAAACUGCCUGAUGGAGGGGGAUAACUACUGGAAACGGUAGCUAAUACCGCAUACCAUCAGAUGUGCCCAUAUGGGAUUAGCUAGUGGGUGGGGUAACGGCUCACAAAGGCGACGAUGCCUAGCUGGUCUGAGAGGAUGACCAGCCACCCGGGUACUGAGACACGGUCCAGCCUCCCACGGGAGGCAGCAGUGGGGAAUUUUGCGCAAUGGGCGCAAGCCUGAUGCAGCCAUGCCGCGUGUAUGAAGAAGGCCUUCGGGUUGUAAAGUACUUUCAGCGGGGAGGCGUUACCCGCAGAAGAAGCACCGGCUAACUCCGUGCCAGCAGCCGCGGUAAUUC
rnacentral:rRNA from 1 species